rnacentral:rRNA from 1 species
UGGGGAAUAUUGCACAAUGGGCGCAAGCCUGAUGCAGCCAUGCCGCGUGUAUGAAGAAGGCCUUCGGGUUGUAAAGUACUUUCAGUCGGGAGGAAGGUGUCAAGGUUAAUAACCUUGGCAAUUGACGUUACCGACAGAAGAAGCACCGGCUAACUCCGUGCCAGCAGCCGCGGUAAUACGGAGGGUGCAAGCGUUAAUCGGAAUUACUGGGCGUAAAGCGCACGCAGGCGGUUGAUUGAGUCAGAUGUGAAAUCCCCGGGCUUAACCCGGGAAUUGCAUCUGAUACUGGUCAGCUAGAGUCUCGUAGAGGGGGGUAGAAUUCCAGGUGUAGCGGUGAAAUGCGUAGAGAUCUGGAGGAAUACCGGUGGCGAAGGCGGCCCCCUGGGCGAAGACUGACGCUCAGGUGCGAAAGCGUGGGGAGCAAACAGG